GAGUCUGUUCCCGAUGGCUGCCACGCCCACCCGGGCCCGCCGAGUGGACAUGGACGCCACCAUGUGCCAGCGGUCCGUCCUGGUAUCGUAUGCCUCACAGUCUCCAUGAAUGGCAAACAGACUACCGCCACCUGGAGAUCCACACACACACACACGCAUACAACGUUCAAAUACUCAACAGUUUGUUCGUUUUUAAUUGGAUGUGUUCCUUUGAGUUCAUCUCUGACCGACAGCGAAGAGCACAGGGCUGGCACCCUCGCAGCGCCGUGGCCGCGUCCGGCUGUUACUGAGCACGCCUCUCUGCUCAGGCAUCAGGUGAUACUUCAGCGCCUCGAUCAGCAGGUCCUUGCACUCGGAGUGAUGACGCACCAGCAACUCCGUAUCCACGUUGCUCAUAAGGAAGUCUCGCCUCAGCAGUGGCAGCCGCACGCAUUUCAUCAACUAGCGAGGAAAGCAUCAUUUGGGGCAUAUUUGGAGUGAACCCUGAUGUGGUGUUUACAUACGAACACAAACGUCCAUGCAGCCUUUUGUCAAAGAAUAU